ensembl:lncRNA
CGUGUUUGUCUUUCUCUGGCUUAAUUUUCUCUGACAGAUGGACGGAUAAAGAAGAUGCGGCAUGUGGGAGCGGUAGAAUAUUACUCGGCCAUGAAAAAGAAUGGAGUGACGCCGCUUGCAGCAGCGUGGGUGCCCCAUGGUCUUUUCUUGAUCAGAUACGAUUUUUCUGUCUCACUCUAUGAUAAAUAGUUUUGUUUCUUCUUUAACACACAAAUCGUUCAGUGCAGGACACAAAGAUCAGCAGCUGUCAGAAGAAUAUCUACUCUCUAGGACUGAACUUUCUGAUCCCCUCACGCUAUUAAGGAAUGCCAGCUACACAGAUGGGUCUUAUUCCAAGCCCUGCAACUGGACUCUUGGGCUCCGUGAAACUGUAGAGACCCAUCUGGAUGGCUUGUGUAUGUCUCUAGUGAAAACCAAGCUCUGUAUCACUAUCCAUCACAGUAUAUUAUAACUCAGUCUGUCCUACCCAUGUGCCUGAGACUGUCUCAAUGUUGUUAAUUUUUCAGUUAAAAGAACGUGAGUCCACUGAACGCUCUUUUCUCACAGCUUCUUUCCUGCUUUGAAACCACACCUGUCCGCCAUUCCACAGUCAGCAGUCUAGAACAGCCCGCACUCCCCCAGAAACUCGCAGAAAGUCUUAGAAUCACUGGGCAUUCUUUCCUAAGGUGUGACUGUUGCGGCCGUUGCUUGUAGGUUCUGCUCCCCGGGCACAUCCAGAGUCUCCAAGCCGCUCAGUUCACUGGACAAUGAAAUCUUCAAAUUCUCAACAAAUCGCUCUACAAAUUGUCAUUUUUUAGCUCAGCUUUCCUGAGGUUUAAUCUCUAUAGGAUAAAAUGCACCUGUUUUAUAUAUUCUGUGAGUUUCGAAGACAGUGGAGCAGCAUGAGCAAAUUAUACUACUUUCAGCAAACUUCAGAAUAAAUAAACAGGCAGGACAGAAAGCGAAGAGGGACUAAACAGCCUCUUGAUGGAAGUGAAAGAGGAGAGUGAAAAGCUGGCUUAAAACUCAACAUUCAAAAAUGAAGAUCAUGGCAUCUGGUCCCAUCAUUCCAUGGCAAAUAGAUGGGGAAACAAUGAAAACAGCGACAGACUUUAUUUUCUUGGGCUCCAAAAUCACUGCAUGAAAUUAAAAGAUGUUUGCUCCUUGGAAGAAAAGCUAUGACCAACCUAGACAGCGUAUUAAAAAGCAGAGACAUUACUUGGCCAACAAAGGUCCGUCUAGUCAAGGCAAUGGUUUUUCUGGGAGUCAUGUAUGGAUGUGAGAGCUGGACUAUAAAGGAAGCUGAGCACUGAAGAACUGAUACUUUUGAACUGUGGUGUCGGAGAAGACUCUUGAGAGUCUCUUGGACUGCAAGGAGAUCUAGCCAGUCCAUCCUAAAGGACAUCAGUCCUGAAUAUUCUUUGGAAGAACUGAUGUUGAAGCUGGAACUCCAAUAUUUUGCCACCUGAUGUGAAGAACUGACUCACUGGAAAAGACUCUGGUGCUGGGAAAGAUUGAGGGCAUGAGGAGAAGGGGACAACAGAGGAUGAGAUGGUUGGAUGGCAUCACUGACUCAGUGGACAUGAGUUUGAGUAAGCUCUGGGAGUUGGUGAUGGACAGGGAAGCCUGGCGUGCUGUAGUCCAUGGGGUCACAAAGAGUCAGACAUGCCUGAGCGACUGAGCUGAACUGAACUGAGCCUUGGGUGUCUGACUACCUAGAUUCUAACCCUGGUUCAACUACCUAUAUGACCUAGAGCAAGUCUCCUAAUUUUCUGCCGCAACUUUCUUAUCCUUGUGAUGGAAAUAAUCACUGUAACCACCUCCUCUGUGCUAAGCGUGGACUCUGCCGGCUUAUAGGCGACGGGGAAUUUCAUGGAAGUCCACCAAAGGUGUGGGAGCUUUUCCUCUGCAGGUGGAAUUGGAAAUAACACCGCUAAUAAACUAAGGUGUUGACAAGGUGAAGUAUCGCAGUGCCUGCAAGAGGAAAGGUGACAGUUGGCGUUUUCGCCUCUGGAGGAGCAGUCCCUCUGACGUGUCUGCUUGGGUUUCAGGGCAGCUGCCCUCUGCUCUUCUGAGCCUGCAUCUUGUAAGCACCCAGGGGUGAACCUUCCGAGAUUCCACAUGUAAGCAACUUCACAUGAGAUCUGUCUUUGUCUGACUUCCUUCCCUUGCUUCCCUGAUGGCUCAGAUGGGAAAGAAUCCGCCUGCAAUGUGGAAGACCUGGGUUUGAUCCCUGGGUUGAGAAGAUCCCCUGGAGGAGGGCAUGGCAACGCACUCCAGGAUUCUUGCCUGGAGAAUCCCACGGACAGAGGAGCCUGGUGGGCUGCACUCAUGGGUCACAACGAGUCCGACCACGACUCAGUGACUGAGCACAGGUCUGCUUCUCUUAGUGUGAUAAUCUCUGCGUCCAUCCACGUUGCUGCAAACACCGUUCUUUCUUUCUUCUUAAUGACUGAUACCCCAUCGUAUAUGUGCAUCGAAUCUUCUUUAUCUUUUCAUCUGUCAAAGCACAGUUAGGUUGCUCCCAUGUCUUGGCUGCUGUGAAUAGCCCACCGUGAACACUGGUGGCGUGUAUCUUUUCAAAUGAGAGUUUCUCCAGAAGGAGAAACUUUAUCAACUAGAGUUAUCAGGGAAGGCAUCAUGGAAGAGGUAGGGUUGUACUGGGCUUUAAAGAAGAUGUACAGUUCAGGUGACAGUGAGGCUGGGGCUACAGUGAGCCAAGACUAAAGCUGUGGGCUUGAGCAGGGGAACCGCUGACCUGGGACUGGCAAGACCCAGGUUGGGAGUACCUUGGCUGGACCGCUUCCCCUUCAGUUCCUUCAUCUGCGAAAUGUGUGAAAUGAUCUGCGCCGGUUGGUCUUUCAGGGCUCUGGAGAGGAUCUAAUGGGAGCUUGAGUGUGGAAACUCUUCGGAAACCAUGAAGCAUUCAGUGAAGCAAGAGGGAACAUUUUUUUCUUCUCUUAGCCCAUAAACUUCAUGACAGCACUGGGCAUGACUGAUUCUGUCAGCCUUUAAAAAAUGCUUCAUGAAGUUUACGAAAAGAUUAUGCUGCAAACCUUCAUCAGUUGCUCAGUCGUGUCCGACUCUGUGUGACCCCAUGGACUGCAGCACACUAGGCCUCCCUGUCCAUCACCAACCCUCUGAGCUUGCUCACACUCAUGUCCAUCGAGUCAGUGAUGCCAUCCAGCCAUCUCAUCCUCUGUCAUCCGCUUCUCCUCCCACCUUCAAUCUUUCCCAGAGUCAGGGUCUUUUCCAGUGAGUCAGUUCUUUUCACCAGGUGGGCAAAGUAUUGGGAGUUCCAACUUCAGCAUCAGUCCUUCCAAUGAAUAUUCAGGACUGAUCUCCUUUACGGAGAAGGCAAUGGCACCCCACUCCAGUACUCCUGCCUGGAAAAUCCCAUGGACGGAGAAGCCUGGAAGGCUGUAGUCUAUGGGGUCGCUGAGGGUUGGACACUACUGAGUGACUUCACUUUCACUUUUCACUUUCAUGCGUUGGAGAAGGAAAUGGCAACCCACUCCAGUGUUCUUGCCUGGAGAAUCCCAGGGACGGGGGAGCCUGGUGGGCUGCCGUCUAUGGGGUCACACAGAGUCGGACACGACUGAAGUGACUUAGCAGAUCUCCUUUAGGAUGGACUGGUUGGAUCUCCUUGCAGUCCAAGGGACUCUCAAGAGUCUUCUCCAACACCACAGUUCAAAAGCAUCAAUUCUUCGGUGCUCAGCCUUCUUUAUGGUCCAGCUCUCACAUCCAUACACGACACCAGAAAAACCAUGGCUUUGACUAGACAGACCUUUGUUGGCAAGUGAUGUCUCUGCUAUUUAAUAUGCCGUCUAGGUUGGUCAUAACUUUUCUUCCAAAGAGCAAGCGUCUCUUAAUUUCAUGGCUGCAGUCACCAUCUGCAGUGAUUUUGGAGCCCCCCAAAAUAAAGUCUGACACUGUUUCCACUGUUUCCACAUCUAUUUCCCAUGAAGUGAUGGGACCAGAUGCCAUGAUCUUCGUUUUCUGAAUGUUGAGCUUUAGGCCAACUUUCUCACUCUCCUCUUUCACUGUCAUCAAGAGGCUUUUUAGCUCCUCUUCACUUUCUGCCUUAAGGGUGGUGUCAGCUGCGUAUCUGAGAUUAUUGAUAUUUCUCUCAGCAGUCUUGAUUCCAGCUUGGGAUUCAUCCAGCCCAGCAUUUCUCAUGAAGUACUCUUCAUAUAAGUUAAAUAAGCAGGGU